AAAAUAUGUCCGGAGGACAUUGUCUGGUCAGUAGUUUGUAUCUCUCCCAAGCUUCAUAAAAGGUCUCACUAUCCUUCUGUUUGAAGGUCUGAACCUCCACCCUAAGCUU